AUAAUACUCCCUCCGCCCGAAAAUACUUGUCAUCAAAAUGGACAAACUGGAAUGUAUCUAGAACUAAAAUACGUCUAGAUAUGUCUUCUUUUGUCCAUUUUGAUGACAAGUAUUUCUGGACGGAGGAAGUAGUUA
rfam:Triticum aestivum genome assembly, contig: Triticum_aestivum_CS42_TGACv1_scaffold_177560_2DS